rnacentral:rRNA from 1 species
AUUGAACGCUGACGGCAGGCCUAACACAUGCAAGUCGAACGGUAACAGGAAGAAGCUUGCUUCUUUGCUGACGAGUGGCGGACGGGUGAGUAAUGUCUGGGAAACUGCCUGAUGGAGGGGGAUAACUACUGGAAACGGUAGCUAAUACCGCAUAACGUCGCAAGACCAAAGAGGGGGACCUUCGGGCCUCUUGCCAUCGGAUGUGCCCAGAUGGGAUUAGCUAGUAGGUGGGGUAACGGCUCACCUAGGCGACGAUCCCUAGCUGGUCUGAGAGGAUGACCAGCCACACUGGAACUGAGACACGGUCCAGACUCCUACGGGAGGCAGCAGUGGGGAAUAUUGCACAAUGGGCGCAAGCCUGAUGCAGCCAUGCCGCGUGUAUGAAGAAGGCCUUCGGGUUGUAAAGUACUUUCAGCGGGGAGGAAGGGAGUAAAGUUAAUACCCUUGCUCAUUGACGUUACCCGCAGAAGAAGCACCGGCUAACUCCGUG